rnacentral:rRNA from 1 species
CAAGGCGACGAUCGGUAGCCGGACUGAGAGGUUGAACGGCCACAUUGGGACUGAGACACGGCCCAGACUCCUACGGGAGGCAGCAGUGGGGAAUAUUGCACAAUGGGGGAAACCCUGAUGCAGCGACGCCGCGUGAGUGAAGAAGUAUUUCGGUAUGUAAACUCCUGUUGUUGGGGAAAAAGAGGAUGGUACCCAACAAGGAAGUGACGGCUAACUAC